AUGGAUGUAGUGUGCUGGAAUGUGCGGGGCUUCAAUAGCCUGGUCAAGAAGAAGGCGCUGAGGGAGUUCGUUGAUUCUUUGCGCGUGGCGAUCGUGUGUAUUGUGGAGUCUAAACUGGAACAUGUUGACCAGUAUAUUAUCUUGCAAUGCUCAGGUCCAUCUUAUGAUGGUUUUGCGUACCUCCCGGCGUCCAAGACUAGAGGUGGAAUCGUAGUGGGAUGGGAAUCCUCACAUGUCCAGCUUACUAAUUUUGCCCUUGAUUCCUUCUCUCUGUCUGGAUAUGUUGCACCGAGGGAGGGGAUCCCGUGGUGGCUAUCGUUGGUCUAUGGACCACAAGAAGACGACCAAAAAACUCAGUUUCUCCAGGAGUUGACUGAGAGGAGGACGCUCUGCCCGGGGCCGUGGCUGGUGAUUGGUGACUUUAACAUGUUCUUACAUGCGACGGACAAAAACAACACGCUCCUGGAUCGCAUGAUGAUGGGGAGAUUCAAGGGAUUUGUUGACGAUAACGCACUCAAGGAGUUGUUUCUGCAUGGACGAAAAUUCACGUGUAGCAACAAGAGGGAGGUGUCUACCCUCACCAAGAUUGAUAGGUCAUUUGUAUCAGUUGACUAG
rnacentral:rRNA from 1 species